UUCUGUUUUGAUCCUCUGCAGUUAGUGUGUGGUUCUGGCCCACUCUCAAUACAUAGGCAGACUUAACACCUGGCCUUUUCUUUCCCCUCCCAUUGCUGAGGAGAAGAGAGGAUGGACUUGACUCCAAUACUCAGAUCUUCCACCAACCUCAACAAGAAGCUGAACAUCAGAGAAGGCAGCUUUAGGACUGAACAUCACAGAAAGAGUGCCUGUUCUCUUCCCAAAGAAGGAGCGUGGAGCUGGGAUACAACGGUGACGCUCUCCUGCACUUCAUGCUGGCCAGUCUAUGUGGAGGUAUCGGUUUCAAUGCUUCAGGGAAAGACUCCCAGCUGCUUGAGAGACCACUAUGUGAUGACAAGGGAGGAAUGGAGGAAUAACUUCAGAGCAACAAGUGACUGAGGCCUGCGCGUAACCUUCUGCUGUCUGGGGAAUGGGCCACUACAGCGUGCCAUAAGAUUUUUUUUAAUGCUACCCAGGGACACUAAAAGAAUUUGUUUCAUGAAGUAAAUUGUUUGAAUGAGACUUUCUUUUCAUCUCAGAAAGUGAAUCUCUGUAUAAUCCCUAUUUUAGGCUCUUUCCCAGACUACAGGAAAUGCUGCCUGCCUUGGGAUUCCUGUGUGCCCAACUCAUGGGACAACAUGAAGCCUGCCCAUCCCAUGCAGACAGCAGAACAGCCCCUCACAUACAGGGAAGGUCCUGAUGUCCGUCAGACUGCGCACAGGUGCUGGACGGCUGUAUCCUGAGCUCUUCUAAUCUGGCUUUCCUGCAUGAGCUACAGCAUGCCACAGAAAGAAAGCGACUGUGACAAUUUUCUUAAUUAGUGGGGGCCAACCUUUCUGGCAGGCGUGCCAUGAAUUAACCCUAUACCCUUCCCCAAUGCUGCUCUGAUUGGCUGCUUUCUGCUCUCUGCCUGAUCUGCUGCUCUGUUUUUGGCUCCCUCCUCAAUUUGCCACAUGCGGCACACAGAGGCUGCCUGUACUACCUGUGGCAUACAUGCAGUGGGUUGGCCAUCCCAAUCUACAGGAUUCUUGGAAGGCAUUGCCUUUUCACUACCAGUGAAAGCCAGUGAUCUGCACUUGUAAUGUUGUAACAUUGAUUGUCAGCUACUCUGUCUAAGGCACAUAUAGCACCAGGUCACUAUUAGCAGUUAACAAAAUAAAUCCAAAUG